rnacentral:lncRNA from 1 species
GAGGGUGCCUGAGGGGGAUGUGCUAAAGCCAAAGCACAUUUGCCCCCUCCCAGCGGGUAGGGGAGUGGUGGAGGCGGAGCACAGAGGUGUGGCCUGUCAGAGAAGGCGUUGUUACGACAGCACAGAGAGUACGGCCCUAGGAGCAGGACCCUGCACACAGCUGAGCUCAGAGGCUCCAGUCUGGCCACGAGAAUGCAAUGGGAGGUAUUCUUCAUUGAUCUUACUCGAAGUUGAGAACAUGUAUUUUGACUCUGAGAAAUGUUUGGAGGUCAACUGCAGUGAGGUCUCUAUACCACAGAGUGGUGAGUCCCCAAGUCCCGGUGAACUUAGGAAAUGGGCAUUAUCCUCUGGAAGACGUUUAUAGAGGUGACUUUUUUGAUAGAAAAUUGGAUGUCUGCCUGGCAAAUUGGAUAAAGGGUCAAGACCCAUCAGUGUGCUGUAU